CAGACAGGACACAGGCCAGUCAUGAUGGCUGCACUUCAACUCUUAGGGCUGCUGCUGCUUUGGGUCCCAGCCAUGAGAUGUGACAUCCAGAUGACCCAGUCUCCUUCACUCCUGUCAGCAUCUGUGGGAGACAGAGUCACUCUCAACUGCAAAGCAAGUCAGAAUAUUAACAAGUACUUAGACUGGUAUCAGCAAAAGCUUGGAGAAGCUCCCAAACGCUUGAUAUAUAAUGCAAACAGUUUGCAGACAGGCAUCCCAUCAAGGUUCAGUGGCAGUUGAUCUGGUACAGAUUACACACUCACCAUCAGCAGCCUGCAGCCUGAAGAUUUUGCCACAUAUUUCUGCUUGCAGCAUAAUAGUUUGCCCCACGGUGAUACAAACCAUAACAUAAACCACCCAGAGAUGCAGAUGUGUGAGUGUGGGUUUUCACAGCUGUUCUUUUGGUUCCACUACUGA